CUUUCAAAAAGCUCAUAAGCUGGAGAACAGUUAGCAGUGUAGGAGUACCGCCCAUUUUCUCUCUCCGUUUUGGUUUCAACGCCACAGAAAAAGGAAUACUUUGGGCUUUUAAAUCUUUGCUUCCCUUGAGCAGGAUUUGUUAAUUGAGGAUAAGCAAUCGCUUUGGGAAAAGGAAUCAUCUGUUUCAUCUAGUUGAUCAAUAAUCACUUCAGAAUGGCUUUAGAAGGCUGCGCAAGGAUCGUCAAGAUCCUUAUGUUUAUCUUCAACUUCAUCUUCUUUGUCGCUGGUAUCGUUGUGCUCGCUGUUGGUAUCUAUGUCAAUGUCGUUGACGGAGACUUCGCUCAGAUCCUCCCCAGCUUACCGUACCUCAGCGCAGGCAAUCUCCUGAUCGCAUGCGGUGUCAUCGUCCUCGUCGUUGGGUUCCUCGGAUGCUGCGGUGCCAUCAAGGAAAGCCCAUGCAUGCUCCUCAUUUUCUUCUUCCUGCUCCUACUCAUCCUCAUCCUUGAAAUCGCUGCUGGUGCCCUUGCCUUCACAUACAGGAACAAGGUCGAAGAGUUUGUCAUCAAGGAUCUUACCACUGGACUCUCACAAUACAACAAGUCUCAGUCACUUACCAAGGCAUGGGAUAUCCUUCAGUCAGAUCUGCAAUGUUGCGGUGUGAACACAUCCGAUGACUGGCAAAGUCCCAACAUCACGCUGGCAGGACCAUUUCCAGACUCGUGUUGUAAGGAUGGGUUUGAGAAGGACUGUGCAAUAAGAGUUGGUGCUGUGCCAUGGGAUGUGGGCUGCCAAGGAAAACUCACGAUGAAGCUCCGCGAUAACAUCUACAUUGUUGGUGCCAUUGGAAUUGCAUUUGGUCUUAUUCAGAUAUUUGGAAUGAUCCUGUCUAUGAUACUUUACCUUGCGACAAAGGGGUAACUUCCCUGCAUGCAGCGGCAGUCCAAUCGACUACCUUAAAACAAAACAAGUGCAAACAAAAGUCCUCGGUCUGGUGUUCUCCAUGUGCCUCUACUGCUCCAUAAGAGACGGAACUAAGGCAUAAGAUGGGGUACCGGUCUUUAGUAUAUU
rnacentral:misc_RNA from 1 species